CCCUUAGACGUUCUGGGCCGCACGCGCGCUACACUGACGGAGCCAGCGAGUAUAAACCUUGGCCGAGAGGUCUGGGAAAUCUUGUGAAACUCCGUCGUGCUGGGGAUAGAGCAUUGUAAUUAUUGCUCUUCAACGAGGAAUUCCUAGUAAGCGCAAGUCAUCAGCUUGCGUUGAUUACGUCCCUGCCCUUUGUACACACCGCCCGUCGCUACUACCGAUUGAAUGGCUUAGUGAGGCUUCCGGAUUGGUUUAGAGAAGGGGGCAACUCCAUCUUGGAACCGAGAAGCUAGUCAAACUUGGUCAUUUAGAGGAAGUAAAAGUCGUAGCA
rnacentral:rRNA from 1 species